rnacentral:rRNA from 1 species
GCUGGCGGCAGGCCUAACACAUGCAAGUCGAGCGCUCUCUUCGGAGGGAGCGGCGGACGGGUUAGUAACGCGUGGGAACGUGCCCUUCUCUACGGAAUAGCCUCGGGAAACUGGGAGUAAUACCGUAUACGCCCUUUGGGGGAAAGAUUUAUCGGAGAAGGAUCGGCCCGCGUUGGAUUAGGUAGUUGGUGGGGUAAUGGCCUACCAAGCCUACGAUCCAUAGCUGGUUUGAGAGGAUGAUCAGCAACACUGGGACUGAGAUACGGCCCAGACUCCUACGGGAGGCAGCAGUGGGGAAUCUUAGACAAUGGGCGCAAGCCUGAUCUAGCCAUGCCGCGUGAGUGACGAAGGCCUAGGGUCGUAAAGCUCUUUCGCUGGGGAAGAUAAUGACGGUACCCAGUAAAGAAACCCCGGCUAACUCCGUGCCAGCAGCCGCGGUAAUACGGAGGGGGUUAGCGUUGUUCGGAAUUACUGGGCGUAAAGCGCGCGUAGGCGGAUCAGAAAGUUGGGGGUGAAAUCCCAGGGCUCAACCCUGGAACUGCCUUCAAAACUCCUGGUCUUGAGUU